AUCCUGCAUUUUCGAACAUGCCAUAUCCGCAUGGUUUGAUUUCACCCCAUCUCAACCAGUACUUCCCAGGCCUCGGGUUCAAUCCAACUUCUGAAGAUCCAGUUGACCGCAAUAUUGAAAAUUUUAGCUCUAUGGAGAUGAACUCAGGCGAGGCAGAAAAUGAUUUCUGGCAAGAUCAAGAUGGUGGCUCCAGUGUUGGAUUUGACCCAGAAAAUGGAAAUUA
rnacentral:misc_RNA from 1 species